rnacentral:rRNA from 1 species
UACAGAGGGUGCGAGCGUUGUCCGGAAUCACUGGGCGUAAAGGGCGCGUAGGUGGCGAUCCAAGUCCAUGGUGAAAGCUCGAUGCUCAACAUCGAGUCGGCCACGGAUACUGGGUUGCUUGAGCACUGUAGGGGCAGAUGGAAUUCCGGGUGUAGCGGUGGAAUGCGUAGAGAUCCGGAAGAACACCGGUGGCGAAGGCGGUUGCCUGGAGCUUUGCUGACGCUGAGGCGCGAAAGCGUGGGGAGCGAUCCGG